CCAAACACUGCCUGUUCUCACUCAUAAGUGGGAGAAACAGAGCCCCGGACCAUGAGGCUUCCCCUGCUGGACAGCAAGGACCUCCAGCAGCCCCUCAGCUGUUUCCCAGUCACUUUCAGAAGCAAGGCUGCUAUAGCUAAUUGAUGUAUGAAAGAUGUAAUUGCAGCCAUUGAUAGGGAAAAUAUCAGCAAUAUGAUGCACUUGGAAGCUCAGAAAAAAAUCAAAGGCUACACAGACAACAUGACUGUCACACUAGCCAGGUCUGAAUAUAAAAUCUAGUCUCUUCUGGUGACGGAGGAAAGGAAGUGUCAUCCAUACAAGAUGAAUUUACACUCUGAACCCCAGGAGGUCCUGCACAUAGGGAGUGCCUGCAAUCCAAAUACCAUGCUCUUUACUGCCUCUCCUGCUUCCAGCACUUUCCCUGGGGUCAUCCAAACCAGUACAGCAACCCAGCUGGCCUCUCUUCUUCUGAAAACAUCUCCAACUUUAACAACACCUUGAGAUAACAUACUGCUGGUAUUUCAAAAACUGCUGCCAGCAGGGAGGAGGCCAAUGGCGUGCCCAUAGCUCAUGUUCAGCCUCCAAGUGGCCUCAUCAUCAACGAAGAAUCUGAAAUUUACAAGAUGCUUCAGGAGAAACAGGAGUUGAACGAACCCCUGAAACAGUCCACCUCUUUCCUGAUUUUGCAGGAAAUCCUGGAGUCUGAGAUAAAAAGGCAUCUCAGCAACCCUCAUGAUUCAGAAGUGUUAAGAUUCCCGACCCCGAAGUGGCUGCAUCAAUUGGAAAUGCUCAGAAUGUGCCCGUGUGUGACAAAUGCGGUCCUGGCAUUGUAGGCGUGUUUGUAAAGCUGUGGAGACCAUCAUCCCCUCCCUGAAUGUUACGUGUGCACUGAUUGUGGCAUUCACCCAAAAGAGAAGGGCUUUUUUUUUUUUUUUUUUUCUUUUCUCCAUCGAAUCUACUGGGAAGAGCAUGCCCAGGAGCAAGUCACACCACCUGAGGGUAUGAUGUGGUCAUCAUGUUCCCCAAGUGAUCCAGCAGACCCGCACUGACCACUGUUCUCCAGCCAGUCUCUGCUGCAGCUUGUUCUCUAAAUGUUCUGGCCUUGUCUCUUGAAAGUUCUGUACUUAACCUUUUUUUUCCCCCUUACCUUGGUUUUAUCCCUGCUUAUUGAACCUUGAGUCCCCUGUCUUGGUUAACUGACUCACCCUGACUAUGUGGUGCUCGCCCACUUUUACAAUGAAUGGCAAACUGUUUUUGUUCGGCGUCCCCUUGCUGGCAACACUAUGUACCUUCCUCCCCUCAGUUCUUCUCUGCUGCAAAUGGACAUCAGCCCACAUUUGAACCAAAUCAAAUAUAAUAUGUCUGACAUUGAUUUCAUUUUUGCUCAAUCGGUAGACUACGAGAAAAAAGAAAUAAAAAAAUGAAAACAAAGAGAAUUUAAAUGAACAAACAGACCCUUCUGGAACCCACUGUGACAUGAGAUGUGUCCACAGUGCAAGGUUUCAGGCACACACUGAAGGAGCAUCUGCUGGAUAGUCCUCCCCGCCCCCAAGUCCUUACCAACCUGUGCCACUGGUGCUUAUUUUUCUUGACUGAUUAGGUAGACACUGAUUUACGCAUGACUCUUUAAUAUUUGAGAGCCUAGAGCUUCCAAUUAAAAUAUGCUAAAAGUAUUUUUUAAAUGUUACAGUGUUCAACCUUAUAAUCAGAUAAACUGUACUACUCAAAAAGUAAAUUUAAUGAAUAUAGGAGUGUGUACACCAUUUCCUGUUUACCUGAUAAAGCUAAUGCUUGGCUCUUUUAAACAGUUUCUGAAUUCUUGCAUUCUCCAUAUUUCCGUGUUCCACAGUGUUUGUACAGUUUUGCUACUCAUUAUUUCCUAAAAGCCUUAAGGUCUUGAGUUCAUCUGGUCUGCCGAUUUCAUGGGUCUUAGGGAAACCGUGUUCUCUUUAGACUUUCCAUGCCAUGAGGGCCCUGGAAGGACAGCCUCAACAACUUUCCCUUCUGUAGUUUUGUUCCUAGAGGGCAAGGACACAGUCUAUUUUGUCAUUUCUCCAGGCCUGCCUGGGUGGGGGUAAGAGCUGGGAGACAGAUGGACCAGCAACAUGGAGUUCCCCUUUGUGUUCUACUUUAAAGCUCUUUGCCAGGAACACUGCAUGAACUUUUAGUUUGUAUUAGUUAAGCUCCAAGGACCAGUCCAUGUUGGGGAAAUUGAAGUGAGCAUGGGCAGGGUACACAAAACUGCACUUUUCUCACCAGAUUCCAAACUGUCCAUCCACAUUUAUGCAGCAGAGAGCCAGAGGUAGUAUAUUCGAGGAGUGGGUGAUGCUGGCAAAAAAUGUAGACCUACAUAAUGUAAAACACACAUGCAGAGUCCUAUAUGGAGGGGUGUUUCAGUCUCAAGUUCUGGAUCCACAUGCUAGUUCCACUUUGGAGUAUGACUUUAAAAUGUUACAUAAUAGAUUUCUGAACCUCCUUCUUCAUUUGUAUAAUGGGAAUAUCAGGCCGACUUAUCUCAGUAGGUGGCUAUGAGAAUCAAAUGAGAGAACGUGUAUGGGCUGAUACUAGUUGCGUACAAUGAUAUGCUCUUCCUAUAGAAUGUUACUCAUUGAAUCUUGUAUCUUUUU